rnacentral:rRNA from 1 species
AACGAACGCUGGCGGCAGGCCUAACACAUGCAAGUCGAGCGAGCAUUUCGGUGCUAGCGGCGGACGGGGGAGUAAGGCGUGGGAACGUGCCCUUUUCUGCGGAAUAGUCCUGGGAAACUGGGGGUAAUACCGCAUACGCCCUUUUGGGGAAAGAUGUAUGGGUGAAGGAUCGGCCCGCGUUGGUUUAGGUAGUUGGUGGGGGAAUGGCCAGUCAAGGCGUCGAUCCAUAGCUGGUUGGAGAGGAUGAUUAGCCACACUUGGACUGAGGCCCGGCCCAGCCUCCUAGGGGGGGGAGGAGAGGGGAAUCUUAGACGAGGGGGGCAACCCUGAUCACGCCAUGCCGCGGGAGUGAGGAAGGCCUUAGUGUUCUAAAGCCCUUUCAGCUGGGAAGAGAAUGACGGUACCAGCAGAAGAAGCCCCGGCUAACUACGUG